AAGUCGAACGGUCCCGCAAGGGAUAGUGGCGAACGGGUGAGUAACACGUAGAAAUCUGCCUCGCCGGAGGGAAUAACUCCUCGAAAGAGGAGCUAAUACCCAAAAGGAUCCGCAAGGAUCAGAGUCCGCAAGGGCCUGGCGAGAGGAGUCUGCGGCCCAUCAGCUAGUUGGUAGGGUAAUGGCCUACCAAGGCUACGACGGGUAGGGGGUCUGAGAGGAUGUCCCCCCACACUGGAACUGAAACACGGUCCAGACACCUACGGGUGGCAGCAGGGAGGAAUCUUGGACAAUGGGGGAAACCCUGAUCCAGCGACGCCGCGUGAGGGAUGAAGGCCUUCGGGCUGUAAACCUCUUUUCAGGGAGAAGAG
rnacentral:rRNA from 1 species